rnacentral:rRNA from 1 species
AGCGAUGUCAGAAGCGUCGGCAGGUUCAAGUUCCUUGGAAGAGGACAGCAUGGAGGGUUACACUCCCGUCUGAGCCGAGCUGAUGUGAAGUACGACACGCUCUCUUCGAGUCGCGUUGUUUGGGAUUGCAGCGCAAAGCAGGUGGUAAACUCCAUCGAAAGCUAAAUACCGGUAGAGACCGAUAGCGAACAAGUACCGUGAGGGAAAGAUGAAAAGAACUUUGAAAAGAGAGUUAAAAGUACCUGAAACUGCUGAAAGGGAAGCGAAUCGCGUCUACUGUCCCUUCGCGUGCAUCGCGUACUGUGGCUUUCGGGCGACAGUAGGUUGUGUCGCGGUGGAGUCAGAGUCAGUUCCGAGUCCGCGGUCUGAGUCGGGCGAUAAAGGUAGGAAUCCCGUGUAGCGGGACCCGCAUGACUCUCCCAAGUCGGGCUGUGGUUGGGACUGAGGUGUCUACAACAUGCAAAUCAAGUGCGUUGCGCGAGCUCUCGCGCAAUCGGAGGAAAGUUCGCUGGAAU